rnacentral:rRNA from 1 species
AGAGUUUGAUUCAUGGCUCAGAGCGAACGCUGGCGGCAGGCUUAACACAUGCAAGUCGAGCGGGCGUAGCAAUACGUCAGCGGCAGACGGGUGAGUAACGCGUGGGAACGUACCUUUUGGUUCGGAACAACACAGGGAAACUUGUGCUAAUACCGGAUAAGCCCUUACGGGGAAAGAUUUAUCGCCGAAAGAUCGGCCCGCGUCUGAUUAGCUAGUUGGUAGGGUAACGGCCUACCAAGGCGACGAUCAGUAGCUGGUCUGAGAGGAUGAUCAGCCACAUUGGGACUGAGACACGGCCCAAACUCCUACGGGAGGCAGCAGUGGGGAAUAUUGGACAAUGGGGGCAACCCUGAUCCAGCCAUGCCGCGUGAGUGAUGAAGGCCCUAGGGUUGUAAAGCUCUUUUGUGCGGGAAGAUAAUGACGGUACCGC